rnacentral:rRNA from 1 species
GACGUAGGGUGCGAGCGUUGUCCGGAAUUACUGGGCGUAAAGAGCUCGUAGGUGGUUUGUCGCGUUGUUCGUGAAAACUCACAACUCAAUUGUGGGCGUGCGGGCGAUACGGGCAGACUGGAGUACUGCAGGGGAGACUGGAAUUCCUGGUGUAGCGGUGGAAAUGCGCAGAUAUCAGGAGGAACACCGGUGGCGAAGGCGGGUCUCUGGGCAGUAACUGACGCUGAGGAGCGAAAGCGUGGGGAGCGAACAGG